rnacentral:rRNA from 1 species
UACAGAGGUGGCAAGCGUUGUUCGGAAUUACUGGGCGUAAAGGGCGCGUAGGCGGCCUUCUAAGUCAGACGUGAAAUCCCCAGGCUUAACUUGGGAACUGCGUCUGAUACUGGGAGGCUUGAGUGCGGGAGAGGGAUGUGGAAUUCCAGGUGUAGCGGUGAAAUGCGUAGAUAUCUGGAGGAAUACCGGUGGCGAAGGCGGCAUCCUGGACCGAUAUUGACACUGAGGAGCGAAAGCCAGGGGAGCAAACGGG